rnacentral:rRNA from 1 species
AUUGAACGCUGGCGGCAUGCCUUACACAUGCAAGUCGAACGGUAGAGUAGCAGUACUUGAGAGUGGCGAACGGGUGAGUAAUAUAUCGGAACGUGCCCAGUCGUGGGGGAUAACGUAGAGAAAUUUACGCUAAUACCGCAUACGAUCUAAGGAUGAAAGCGGGGGAUUCGCAAGAACCUCGCGCGAUUGGAGCGGCUGAUAUCAGAUUAGGUUGUUGGUGAGGUAAAAGCUCACCAAGCCGACGAUCUGUAGCUGGUUUGGGAGAACGACCAGCCACACUGGGACUGAGACACGGCCCAGACUCCUACGGGAGGCAGCAGUGGGGAAUUUUGGACAAUGGGCGAAAGCCUGAUCCAGCAAUGCCGCGUGCAGGAUGAAGGCCUUCGGUUGUAACUAGCUUUGUUACGGAACGAAACGGUAGGAGGCUCUAAUACAGUUGUCUAAUGACGGUACCGUAAGAAUAAG